UACGUAGGGAGCAAGCGUUGUCCGGAAUCAUUGGGCGUAAAGCGCGCGUAGGUGGCCCCGUAAGUCCGCUGUGAAAGUCAAAGGCUCAACCUUUGAAAGCCGGUGGAUACUGUGGGGCUAGAGUACGGAAGAGGCGAGUGGAAUUCCUGGUGUAGCGGUGGAAUGCGCAGAUAUCAGGAGGAACACCAAUGGCGAAGGCAGCUCGCUGGGACGGUACUGACGCUGAGGCGCGAAAGCGUGGGGAGCAAACAGG
rnacentral:rRNA from 1 species